rnacentral:lncRNA from 1 species
UUUGCUUUUGGCUUCAUUUCUUGGACUCACUUGGCUCCAGGGACUGAGGUUUUACUUCUCUGCAGUGAGAAGAUACUGCUGCUUUUUUCCACUGGAAAACAUAAAUACUACCUUCACUAAAUGGUGCAUUGCACUUUUCCAAAUUAUUUUACAUCUACUGAUUAAUCCCCACGAUGACCCCAUGAAGUGCCUUUGUGUGCUGUCGUCCCCAUAUUACAGACGGGAAAAUUGAGCACAGGGCUUGUAGGGGGCUGUCCCGUGCACACAGAGGCUUCUCUGCCUCGUUUCUGGUCUUGCCUGCCUCCCUUGGGGAGGGAAAGUCACAUGACACAGGGAGUUGCUCCCAGAGCUCAGAACCUAAAUCUCAGUAAGCCAGAACCCACCUAACCAACUCUUCCAUCAUCCUGAGUCUGCCACCUUCCUCUGUCUUCUCCAUGAAGGAGACAGGCCCAGGAUGCACAGAAAGAAACUCAGAUUUGAGGUUUCCUCCAGGGAGGUAGCUCUCAAAUACAUCCUCAGGCCAGCCCAGCCCCUCCUCCUGUGGUCAGAGUUGCUGAGGUUCAGAGUUAACAUUCAAGGGACAUUUUACCCAAAGCCAUCAACAGUGAUGGGAAUGCUGGUCUUUCAGAAAAAUUGUCAGCCACGGGCUGGGAAAGGCAAGCGAUUUCAGGUGCCUCCUUUGGCUCCCCAGGGGAAGAGCCCACUGCCCCAGACCUCUGGCCAGCCAAGGUCUCGUGGCCAGCAGUUCCAAGGCUCAGCGAUAAGGCUGCUGCAGAGGAGAUACCAAGGAAGGCCGUCCCGCCACACUGCGCAGGACGGGCCAGUGGCUGCAGUGCCUUCUUCUGGACCGGUGGAAAAGGAACAAAGAAGCUGCAUGAAAAAGGAAGACGUGAGCUGUAUCAUUCCGAGAGAAGCGAAACAGGGAGAGGGGCCGCCCUGGCUUCCCAGAGGACCAGGUGGGAAAGGAUUCCUCCAGGGCUGUGCCGCCUGGGAAGACCAAUCGCCCGGGGCCUGGAUCCCGACAGCAGUCCCACAGCGCCACCUAGUGUCUUCCCGGGAUAACGUGCAUCCCGUCAUCCUCCAGAGCUGGGCCCUGGACCGGAACCCAGAGCACCUCCUACCGGCCAGAUGAAAAUCUGGUUAUCCACAAACGAAUGAAGAGCA